rnacentral:rRNA from 1 species
UGGGGAAUAUUGCACAAUGGGCGGAAGCCUGAUGCAGCGACGCCGCGUGGGGGAUGAAGGCCUUCGGGUUGUAAACUCCUUUCGACAGGGACGAAGCUUUUGUGACGGUACCUGUAUAAGAAGCACCGGCUAACUACGUGCCAGCAGCCGCGGUAAUACGUAGGGUGCGAGCGUUGUCCGGAAUUACUGGGCGUAAAGAGCUCGGAGGUGGUUUGUCGCGUCGUCUGUGAAAUUCCGGGGCUUAACUCCGGGCGUGCAGGCGAUACGGGCUGACUUGAGUGCUGUAGGGGAGACUGGAAUUCCUGGUGUAGCGGUGAAAUGCGCAGAUAUCAGGAGGAACACCGAUGGCGAAGGCAGGUCUCUGGGCAGUAACUGACGCUGAGGAGCGAAAGCAUGGGUAGCGAACAGG